rnacentral:rRNA from 1 species
UACGGGGGGAGCAAGCGUUGUUCGGAUUUACUGGGCGUAAAGGGCGCGUAGGCGGCCUCUGCAAGUCGACUGUGAAAUCUCCGGGCUUAACCCGGAACGGUCAGCCGAUACUGCAGGGCUAGAGUGCAGAAGGGGCAACCGGGAAUUCUCGGUGUAGCGGUGAAAUGCGUAGAUAUCGAGAGGAACACCUGCGGCGAAGGCGGGUUGCUGGGCUGACACUGACGCUGAGGCGCGAAAGCUAGGGGGAGCGAACAGGG